GGAAAAUUUUACUUUCCAGUUUUUCUUUCUUCAAGGUUCUUCUAAAGGAUUCUAUCUAAUGCUGUCUUAUUUGUCUUCCAGCCCCACCGACCCGAGACCCCUUCCCCUACAUCCUGGUGUCUGCACAUUUCCAGAGCUACCCACAUUCUCCAUGCAUCAUCCUGUGCUCAUCUUGUUAUCUGCUGCACUUGGUCCUCUAGUCCUGAAGAACAAGCCAUGGUGCUGGAGGGCCUCCAGGCCAUGGGGAUGCUGCAUUUAA
rnacentral:lncRNA from 1 species